UUCUUAUUGGAUGAUAACUGUCACGUGUCAUAUUCUGAUUAGUCAAUGAAAACAAAAUGCAUUUCAUCUUUCAUGGAGUUGACAUCUAAUCAGAACAUGACAGGUGACAGUAUCCAAUA
rfam:Glycine soja cultivar W05 scaffold4039_14, whole genome shotgun sequence.